GGUUGCUGUAGCCACAGAGGAAUUUUCAAGGACAAGAACCAGUGCUGGUAAAACUGUGGUCUCUGUGGUUUUCCAUACCGGCUCUCGGCAAGGAUUUUCAAGAAAGGAAUACCAUCUCCAAAUCAUGAUGUGCCAAUAAGCUCCAGUUAGCUGCAGCCUUUUCCCCAGGCGGUAGUCCUGCAAUCUGAAUCCAGGAGAUGCAGCUCUGAAUCCAAUAUUUCAGAAGAAUGAAGAUGAAGCAGACCCAGGAGGAACUGUCUGUUGAAGACCCCCCCCCCCCCUCC